UCCAAGCGGUAAAUGCCACAGAACUUUC
rnacentral:sRNA from 1 species